rnacentral:lncRNA from 1 species
GCAACGUCUCUCCCCCCUCUCUCUCUCUCUCCGUCUUGGCGGUGUUGGUGGUGCGCGGUGGUGAACGGCAAGAUUUGUGGAGCUGCUAUCUGGAACUUCCUUCUUCGCUGACGUCUGUGCCUGGAACUUCUUCGCCGGCGUUUGUGUAACAGGAACCCUAAAUCGACUGUUCCCCAUAAAACUUCUUAUGCGAGUGUCGCAUCUAUUAUCGCCGCAUAUAGAGCGGCUUUCUCGUCCUACCAUUACAAUUCCUCCUUGCAAGAAUUGAAAGGGAGAAAGUUUGGGGAAACCUGUUGACAAAACAGGAGAUAUUUGCUUUUUGCUCCCUUGCUGCCACAUUUGUUUUCACUUUACACUGAGAAUAUAUAUAGUGAGAAACUGAGAGAGAGAAAUAGAGAAGACUAGAGAGAUGGGGCAUCGGCUGCUUUCCGGCGAGGCCUCCACGUCUGCAACAUCGUCUUAUCAUCAUAGGUCUCACACGGUUAACAGCAAAGCAACGGAGCAACA